rnacentral:tRNA from 1 species
GGAAAAUUGUCCGAGUGGCUGAAGGAGCGCGAUUGGAAAUCGUGUAAACGGUCAACCCGUUUCAGGGGUUCGAAUCCCCUAUUUUCCG